rnacentral:rRNA from 1 species
CAGUCGCCGCGGUAAUACGUAGGGUGCGAGCGUUAAUCGGAAUUACUGGGCGUAAAGCGUGCGCAGGCGGUUAUAUAAGACAGAUGUGAAAUCCCCGGGCUCAACCUGGGACCUGCAUUUGUGACUGUAUAGCUAGAGUACGGUAGAGGGGGAUGGAAUUCCGCGUGUAGCAGUGAAAUGCGUAGAUAUGCGGAGGAACACCGAUGGCGAAGGCAAUCCCCUGGACCCGUACUGACGCUCAUGCACGAAAGCGUGGGGAGCAAACAGGAUUAGAUACCCGCGUAGUCCCUGUCUCUUAUAC